rnacentral:lncRNA from 1 species
CAGGGGGAGUGCAGAGGCAGGGGCCGAGUGAAGCAGAAGCAGAGUGUGAAUGAGAGAAUGUAAAAUGAACAACAAAAGCUGAGGGAUGCCACUGGAAAUUAAUUUCUUCAUUGUGGCUAUAAUAAUGAUCCAAUCGGAUCAAUUUGGAGAUCUGAUAGAUAUGGCCAUUCUCUACGGAAUGGCGUUUUUAGUUUUCUUUUAUCUUUAAAACUAGAUUUGGGAGGGUUUCGCCCUUUUGCGGAGGAGGAAGGGGGCGUGGCUCAUUUUUGAAAUACACUGGAGCCAACAUUUGGUGGCUCUAGCUCUUAUAGUCUCUGAGAACUAGCCGACAAACAAGACGGACAGACGGACGGACGGACAGACAGACAUGGCUCUAUCGACUCGUCUAUUGAUGCUGAUCAAGAAUAUAUAUACUUUUUGGGGUCGGAAACGUUUCCUUCUGUACGUUACAUACAAC